rnacentral:lncRNA from 1 species
UUUUAUUUUUUCUUUAUUUUAUCUUUUUCUCUCUUUUUCCUUUCAUCUUUCUGUUUCUUCUCUUCUUCUUUUUUUCAGUUACCUUUUUUUCUUCUUUUGCUUGCUAUUUUUUUCUGUCUUUGUCUGCUUAUUUGUGGAGGUGCGACGGUGGUGGGAGUGUAAGGGCGCGCCGGCGAGCACGGUAGCGGCGAAGGAGCGGCGGAUUUUUUGAAGUUAUUUUGUUUUUUUUUUUGCUACUCUUUUGUUUGCUUUGCUUUUCUUUUUGGUUGCUUGCGACUUUUCAGGUGGUGGGGGCAAGGGGACGACAACGGUGGCGGUGGUUGAACGACGGUGGUGAGGGCUUUUGCUUGCUGCUGCUUGAUUUUUUUUCUCUCUUUUUUUGCUUUUUGGUUGCCGAAAAUAAAA